AGACAUUACCGAGUGAGGGCCCUCUGGGUCCAACCUCCCACCCGUGUCUAUCGUACCUUGUUGCUUCGGCGGGCCCGCCGUUUCGACGGCCGCCGGGGAGGCCCUGCGCCCCCGGGCCCGCGCCCGCCGAAGACCCCAACAUGAACGCUGUUCUGAAAGUAUGCAGUCUGAGUUGAUUAUCGUAAUCAGUUAAAACUUUCAACAACGGAUCUCUUGGUUCCGGCAUCGAUGAAGAACGCAGCGAAAUGCGAUAAGUAAUGUGAAUUGCAGAAUUCAGUGAAUCAUCGAGUCUUUGAACGCACAUUGCGCCCCCUGGUAUUCCGGGGGGCAUGCCUGUCCGAGCGUCAUUGCUGCCCUCAAGCACGGCUUGUGUGUUGGGCCCCCGUCCCCCUCUCCCGGGGGACGGGCCCGAAAGGCAGCGGCGGCACCGCGUCCGGUCCUCGAGCGUAUGGGGCUUUGUCACCUGCUCUGUAGGCCCGGCCGGCGCCAGCCGACACCCAACUUUAUUUUUCUAAGGUUGACCUCGGAUCAGGUAGGGAUACCCGCUGAACUUAAGCAUAUCAA
rnacentral:rRNA from 1 species